rnacentral:rRNA from 1 species
UACGUAGGGUGCAAGCGUUGUCCGGAAUUAUUGGGCGUAAAGAGCUCGUAGGCGGUCUGUCGCGUCGGCUGUGAAAACCCGGGGCUCAACCCCGGGCCUGCAGUCGAUACGGGCAGACUAGAGUGCGGUAGGGGAGACUGGAAUUCCUGGUGUAGCGGUGAAAUGCGCAGAUAUCAGGAGGAACACCGGUGGCGAAGGCGGGUCUCUGGGCCGAUACUGACGCUGAGGCACGAAGGCGUGGGGAGCGAACGGG